AGAUUGAACGCUGGCGGCGUGCCUAACACAUGCAAGUCGAGCGGUAGCAGGUGUAGCAAUACAUGCUGACGAGUGGCGGACGGGUGAGUAAUGCGUAGGAAUCUACCCGACGAGUGGGGGAUAGCCCGGAGAAAUCCGGAUUAAUACCGCAUAUGCCCUACGGGGUAAAGCGGGGGGAUCGUAAGACCUCGCGCUGGUGGAUGAGCCUACGUCCGAUUAGUUAGUGGUGGGGUAAAGGCCUACCAAGGCUACGAUCGGUAGCUGGUCUGA
rnacentral:rRNA from 1 species